AUUGGAUUAAUUUAUUGCAUGAUAUUCACUUAUACCAAUCUUCAACACAAAGCCUUUUGAUCUUCUAUUGCAAAACCCCAAGAAAAUUAUAUAGAAAGAAGAAACAUUUAAUCUUUGCAUCAAAAGCUCAGUCUUUCCAUGGCUCAUAACUCCAAGUCCUCCACCUCCACCACCGCCAAGUACUCCACCACCACCACCACCACCACCACCACUAAGCUCACCACCACCCCCAACAAAAUAGACCAUGGCCAAAAGCAUAAGAAAAUUGUAACUUCUUCAUCAGCACCAAAAGCUCAAACCAGUCAAGGCACACACCACAACCACCAGGUUCACCAUCACCACCACCACCACCACCCUCACCAUCAUCAACAAACAUCAAAGCCAAAAGCUCCACGAAAAGCCCUCACUCAACCAAAGCCUAAACAAGCCGUGGCACAUACCCCGGCCACCAUCAAAUCCACCACCGCCCAGGCCAGCUUCAAGUGGGGACAAGGAGUAGAUGUCAAACUGGUAACCAAAGAAGCAGUAUUCAAAGGUGGAAAGUAGCUUAUAUCAAUUAAUGGCAUGCAAGUUCUCAAGUUAAAAAGGAGUUGGAUGCUACAGUUGUGAAGGAAUCUUUUGAAGAAUCUAUACUGGGAUUCAUCAGAACUUGUAAUAUGUUAGGAGAUUACGUUUUGUGUGUGUGUGUGUGUGUUUGUACUUGGUGAACUAAGUAACAGAAUUAUCUCAUUAUAACUGUGGUUACUGGUUCCAAUGCCUUCUAAAUGAAAUGACAAUUUGUUCUUCAAAACUUUAAUUUGUAACUUUCUCAGUGAAAUGAAAUCAAGUUUCUAAUCCAA